rnacentral:rRNA from 1 species
AUUGAACGCUGGCGGAAUGCCUAACACAUGCAAGUCGAGCGGGGUAGCAAUAUCCAGCGGCGGACGGGUGAGGAAUACAUAGGAAUCUGCCUUUAGGUGGGGGAUAGCUUGGGGAAACUCAGGGUAAUACCGCAUGAUCUCGCAAGAGCAAAGUGGGGGAUCGCAAGACCUCACGCCUUUAGAGGAGCCUAUGUCUGAUUAGCUGGUUGGUGAGGUAACGGCUCACCAAGGCGACGAUCAGUAACUGGUCGGAGAGGACGAUCAGUCACACCGGAACUGAGACACGGUCCGGACUCCUACGGGAGGCAGCAGUGGGGAAUAUUGGACAAUGGGCGAAAGCCUGAUCCAGCAAUUCCGCGUGUGUGAAGAAGGCCUUCGGGUUGUAAAGCACUUUAGGUUGGAAGAAAAAACUUCUCCUAAUACGAGGAGCGUUGACGGUACCAACAGAAUAAGCACCGGCUAACUCUGUGCCAGCCGCCGCCGUAAAAC